rnacentral:tRNA from 1 species
AAGAGCUUAGGUUAAACUAAACCAAGGGCCUUCAAAGCCCCAAACAAGGACUGAACCCCUUAGCUCUUG